rnacentral:lncRNA from 1 species
UUUAUAAUUUUCAAGUAAAAGUAAAAAUUGCAAAUUGAUUUGAAAAAAUUUCUAAGGAAGGCAGAAUAUGACGUCACACGGGUGCGCGAAUUUGUGAAUACAAAGUUGCCCGCUUUGAUACUUGGCCGCCGUGCUUUACCUGCGCUUGAGAGGCGAAGCAAGGCGCGUUCCAGUUCGGCCGAAGCUGAUAAGUUGGAGUUUGCGUGUGGCGCCGCUCUGUCAGUGUAGUGGUGUGACUUGACACUCGAUGACUGAUAUCGAGUUCUCUGAGUACUCGUCAGCGAUUUGUGUGAAUUUAGUGCUGAUAGCGUAGUGGAUUUUCUCAAUUCGGAAACAUGUUGAUUAAAGAAUACCGAGUCACGUUGCCGUUAACAGUUGAGGAGUAUCAAGUAGCGCAACUGUAUUCAGUAGCCGAAGCAAGUAAGAACGAAAACUGGAGGCGGUGA